AAUCAAACCACGUUUAUACUAAAAGACGGGUAAAUUACCUUUAGUGGUAAAAGUAACCCGGCGAAUAUUAGGAUUCUUGAAUAAACAAGAACUUACUAACUAGGAAUUUUAACCUAGUUAGCUAAUAUUCUAGAAGUAACUUAUGAUAGGGUUAAAAACAACCAAAACUAUAUGUCAAACAAAAGAUGAGGGGCCUAAGUUGUAAGAAAUUGAAAUUAUAUUACUAAUUUUAAUAAAAAUCAAAACCAAACACCCAUUAAGGAUGUCUGGUCGUACAGGAAAGGGCAGGGGCGACUCCCCACUCUUCAAGACCCUAGAACUUCACUAAUCUUGCAAAUUGAAGGUCCAAUUCAGUCCAAAAUCGAAAUUUAAGCAUGGAUUAUUGAUCCUCAUCACAAGAGGAUUAAAAGUUUGAUCUCGUCAAGCUAAGUGGGAGCUGGAAAGGAAUGGAUCAAACGGAUCAUGGAUGCGAAGAAUGUUUGCGCGGACGCGAGGGUAAAACGGCUUAUGGAAUUUACGUGGCUAUGAAUCAGCAAAUUAUUAAGGCAAGGUAUUAAAACGGGUCAAUACUUUGACCCGCGCCAGGUUCAUUUUGGAUGCCGAGAGACGAUCAAGCUCAUCGAAGAACCGAACACGAUAUAGUUACAUGCUUCCGCACUUUGCCACGUUGUAUAUUUUAAACAACGAAUUCGAUCACGUUUUGUAGAAUAACUUAUGAAUUGUAAAAGUUUUAAUUUACUCGAAAUUUUCUAAGGAUACUUAACCUUAAAUACAUGUUUGUUUUCGUAAAUUAUACGAAAACCUUUAAAAUAA